GCACAUGUGGUUCACACAACUCUUCCUAUCUUUUGCUUUUUGUGCAAGAUAUAUACACACACGAUAUAGAUAUGGGGAAAAAAAGAAUAGAAAAAAAGAAAGUGGGGAACAACACUUUGAGAGAUAAGGAGGAUUUUCGGGGAAAAAGGAGGGGACCAAAAUAUUUUGAGUUUUUCUUAUUUGAUUUGGGUUUAAAAUAUGGAGAAGAUAAGUUGUAGUGAGAAAUGCACUAAUUAAAUGCCCAUUUAAAGGAACUAAAAAUCACAGAAGGAGGACAUUCGGAGAGAACACAACCCCCCCCCCCCCCAUUUUCAUCUUCCUCACACACCCCACCACAAAGAAAACCAACACCCAUCAGCUUUAGCUCCUUCUUCUCCAUUUUGAACACCCAUCGAGACCUUCCCCUCCUUUAAGCUCUCUCCCUUCACUCCCAUUUUGAAAUACACACACGAGACAGCGAAGGAGGGAUUCUGCAAUUGAAAAGUUCCAAAAGUAGAUUUGGAAAUAAAUAAUGAAAAAAAAAUCUCUGAAAAAGCCGAAAGAAAUAAGGAUUUCGGACCGGAUUUUGAGAAGAAUUAAUUGCUGGAAAUUUAAGGUUUAUAUCUUUGUUUUCUUCUGGAUGGUGAAGCUGUGAAAGCUGAGAUUGGGAACUGGCCGAUUACGCUGUGUCCAGUAGCUGAGUUCCGGCAUUAUUUUCGUCUUUUUCAGCCUCUGCUUUGGCUUUCAAUUUUUAUUCGUUUCAGGUAUGUUCCAUACUAAAUCAGUUGUUGCUUGAGUUUAUGAAAUGAGGAAAUGAAUUAUUUAUAGCCUGUUGUUUGUACAUACACUGAUUAACCAAUCUUUCAUUUGGUGAAUGGUGAUUAUUGGUACGAUUCUACUCUCUGCUUGCAUUACUUGUGCUCUCGCUCCUCUUGAAGAACAAAGCUACUGUGCUUUGCUUAUUUUAUUUUACCUUAAAGAUUUUUUUAUUUAUAGAUUAGGUUCCAGAUUUCCAUUAAAUGAAUUCCUAGUAUUUUAUGUUUCUAGCGAUCCUUUCAGUGAAAUGGUAAAACAUCUAAAAAGUUAUCAUUGAUUAGAUUUUGUUAGAGUGUAUGUAUUGUACGAUAAUUUAGUUAUAAAAGAGCAGUAAUCCAUUAUCCCAUUGUAGCACUUAUAAUAAUACAUUGGACAUUCAUGUUGAUUUUGGGGAACUAAUUCUUUUUUAUAAAAAUAAAAGUCUUUUACGUUGUGCUACAAGCCUACAACCCCAAUAUUUUAAAGUUUUUUUUUUGUUAUAUUGGCAAAGUUAAUUUGGUUCUCCAAAUGAUACUGAAGUAAGAAAAUGCAGAACUACUUGUUUGUUUGUUUUUCUUAAUGAAAUGCAACAUUUCAUGCACUUAUUUUUAUAAUAAUCUUUCAUUUUUUGAUUAGUUCUUUAUGAGUAGUGACAAUUUAUAAAAGCAACCGGCACAGAGUAAGAGGUUAUUCUUCAAUUCGUUGUAAUCGUUUCCUCGUUUGAGUUCUGCUAUUGCACGACACUGCAGAUGAUUCACAAUAUUUUUAUCCAUAACUCUUUAUCUUUACAAUAAUCUCAAAAUAGUUUAAGAAACAAUUCAUGAACAUCGUAGCUUGCUUUAGGCGCGAUUAAAUAAACAAUCAUAGCUAUGGGUAUGGUUCCCGUGACGUAGUUGUGAUGCUUGAUUUAUAUAAAUCUGGGGGUGCAUUUCAUGUGACUCGGUUCUAAUUAAAACAAGGUUAAAUAGAACGUAUUUUGAACCGCGAGUACAUUUAUGUAGCGUGAUUUACGAUGUGUUUUAAAUAACUUUAAAUUUUUUCCGAAAUAUUAAAAGCGGUCUUUUUGUUUUUUGCUUUUGCUUUUUGCUUUUGCUUUUACUUUUGCUUUUGCUUUUGGCUAUAGUAUCUUGAAAUAUCACAUUGAAGUGUUAGUGCACUCAAGUGAUGGAGUAAAGAUUCUCUUUCAGCAUUACACAUUACGUAUAACACAAAUUAGAGUAAAUGUACGCAAUUGUGAAGUUUCUUUCUCUGUUGUUUGUUUGGCAUGAUUGAUCCAUCUUUUUUUUUAUGCAUUCAAUUAAUAGAUGAUUUAUUUCCAUACUUGAGCCUUUUGUUUAAAAAUUGUUUAGCAACCGAACCUCAUAUUUUGGUUUGAAGCAAUAAAGAUUUUUGGCCGUUUGGAUUUAGAUAAUUCAAGUCUGAUUGGCCAAGAGCUAAUAAAAAUUCACAAGCUAGUUUCAUCUUUCUGUAAAUAAUCUAUCUCUUUUCUAUAUUAAUUUCCAUAACAUGGCCUUCAUAAUAAUCUUAAAUUAGCUUUAGAAAAAUAAUUAAUAAUUUUCGUAGUUUGCUUUAGGCUCGAUUUAGAUUAGUAUUAUGAUUAUGUAUACGUUCGCGUAACAUAAUUGCGAAUUUAACUCUAAAAAAGACUCGAGGGAUGCGUUUGCGCAACCUCAAUCAAAUUUUCUUAAAUAAAUAAACAAAGUGUUAUUAAUUGUGGACACGUUCGCGUGACAUAAUUUUUGACGCGCCAAAGGAAAAGAGUAUAUGUACGCGUAACUCAAUUCUUUAAUUACGAAUAAAUCAAGUGAUUUAAAAGCGGUUUAAUAGUUGAAAAUGCACAUAGGUUUGAUAGUGUUUUAAAAUCAGAUAAUUAGGCCAAUAAUAAUAGUUGAGAGACCGUGCUAGAACCACGAAACUCGAGAAUGCCUAACACCUUCUCCCGGAUUAACAGAAUUCCUUACCCAAAUUUCUGAUCCGCAGACUGUAAAACAGAGUCAACCUUUUCCUCGAUUCGGGAUUUGAACCGGUGACUUGGGACACCAUAAAUAUCCCAAGUGGCGAUUCUGAAUUUCUUAAUAUAAAUAAUCCCGUUUCGAUUGUCCUUUAAUUGGAAAAACUCCCUUAUGCCCUUCGGGUGUAGGAAAAAAGAGGUGUGACAGUCUUAAUCUUAAAAAAAAUAAAUGAGGCUUAAGUGGUUGUAAAGUAUGUAAAAAAAUAAAUACACUUAAUGAUUAAGAUCUAAAUGGUUAAGAUUCAGAUCACCUUAAAAACAAACACACUUAAUGUGUGAGAUCUGAAUAAUUAAGAUUCAGAGUUCAUUAAGUGCUAAGGCUGUAUUCUGGGCCGGGCCCGAGCCUAAAUGGGCUAAACAGGCCGGGCUUAACGGUACCGGAUUUUGGCGGGCCAGUCUUUGGCGGUCCCAAGCCAAACAGUCCCGGGCCAAACGGGCCUGACGGGUGGAACCGACCCACUAUGGGUCUAAGCCCACAUGGCCCCGGACUAAAUGAGCCAUGCCCAUGGGCCUAAACGGGCCUAAAUGUUCCGGGCUAUAUGGUAUAGAGGGAGGAGCAUGGGUGCAUGUGUCCCAUGCCCCAUGUGCACAUGCACCCAUGCUCCUACCUCUAUACCAUAUAUAUUUAUUUUAUAUAUUUUUUUUAAAUAUGCUUAAAUAUAUAUGUGUGCACCCAAGCUCAAAGAGUUCUAUAGUGCAAUAAAUAUUCAGUGCACCUUCUUAUGUUAGAUGUUCAAUUCUCAGUUUGUUGGCAUAUCUAGUGUCCCUUCUUGUGUUUUAAUUAAGUUUUUUCUUCUCCUUUUUUUUUUGUUUGAUUUAUUCAUUCAAAAUUUCCAAAUCUAACACAUUGAAAUCCUUUAUUUUCUUUUUGUCAUCACAAAAAUUUAUAUAAUUAAAAUUAAUAGCAGUGGAUGAUGUAGCAUGGUACAAUGAUCCCAAUAUUUUUGAUACGGAAUAUAGAUAUAUGUUACAAUUCACUAAAAUUACGAGAAAAAAAAUUAAUUUUAAUCUAUAAUUUCAAAAUGGUAAUGAAUUCAUGGUAAAAAAUUACAGGUUAAACCCGUCAAAUAUAAAUUCUAGAUUCAUUUCUUUGUAGUUGUGCACCCAUCUCCUUGGAAUCCUGGAUCCGCCUCUGUAUAUAUUGCCUUAUAUAUAUAUAAAAUUUAAACACAAAAUAAAUUGAAAAGAAAUAUUCAAGGGAAUGUCUUAUAAUUUUUAUUAUUACGACAUUAACAAAAUGGCAAUAUCUUUCUUAGUCUUCCUCCCCCCAAUAGAAUGAGCACAACAAGGUACCAAUACCACCAUUAAAAGGAAAAAAAGCUAAGGAAGAUCUGCCAAAAUACAAGUUACAUAUUAGUCUAUGUAUUAUCUCUAACAAAUUUCAUAAAUCCUUUAAGGUCCGGAGGAAUUUUCGUUGGUGGUGGCGGAAAAGAAGCUUGUUCAUCACCGCUUCCGGGCGAAGCAGCAUCCUGCGCAAGUUCCGCUAGCAUUUCUUCAUAAGCUUCAUCUAUCUCCGAUUGUGAUUCUGCAAGUCCAAAAGUUUUUCUUUCCGAACGGAUCCAAUCUCUGAAGAGUACUGAUUUUUCCAAGCUCUCCCUCGUAGACGCUCUAUGAUCACCGAUUUGAAGUCUCGCUUGACUAAAAGCGCUCUCUGAUGCCACUGUUGAAGCUUGAACACUUAAAAUAUCUCGAGUCAUCCUUGAAAGAACCGGAUAGUGUUUUUGUUUGUCCUUCCACCAUUCCAAGACAUCAAAGGAGCCGCCAGGAUUCUCUGAUUCAAGUCCCUGCGACAAAUAAACUUGAAGCUCAUUUAGUUGUGAACUAUCACCAAUAUUAUCACCUUGAGAACUCCUGAACUCCGUCCAAGAACUAUGUGCUUUUAGGCCCGCAGUUCUUUUAGAUGAUUGCGAACUAGACGAAGUAGGAGCUGGAACAUUUNNNNN
rnacentral:lncRNA from 1 species